rnacentral:rRNA from 1 species
AUUCCAGCUCCAAUAGCGUAUAUUAAAGUUGUUGCAGUUAAAAAGCUCGUAGUUGGAUUUCUGGUGAGUUCGUUUGGCCGGCCGUAAAGGUCUGUGCCGAAAUGUUAUUCGCCAUCCUUGGUGUAAUCUUGUCCGCCAUUAAGUUGUGUGGGCUUGAGGAUGCCAUCGUUUACUGUGAAAAAAUUAGAGUGUUCAAAGCAGGCUUAUGCCGUUGAAUACAUUAGCAUGGAAUAAUAAGAUAGGACCCUGGUACUAUUUUGUUGGUUUGCGUACCUAGGUAAUGAUUAAUAGGGACAGUUGGGGGUAUUUGUAUUCCGUUGUCAGAGGUGAAAUUCUUGGAUUUACGGAAGACAAACUACUGCGAAAGCAUUUACCAAGGAUGUUUUCAUCG